ACUGUGCAUGGACUGAAACUGCUCAUAAGGUUCCUUAAAGGAUGCUUUGCCAAGGACUAAAAGACCAACCGUUUAUCAUUUUUGGGACAACAGUCCCCCCCAUUUUCUCCUCUCCUGGGGCUGAGGGUCUUGAGAACAGAGAUCUUCUUCUUCCCUGAAGACAGAGGGCACCACUAUAUCCUCCUCAACUUUUCUCUCUUCACUCCAUUCCUGUCUCUCUCCUGGCAUCACUGCAGCAGAAAAAGUCUGCAAAGGAAUGCAACUUCCACCAAAUUCUCUGAAGAAAGUAUUCUUCAUAAAUCAGUCUCCUGCAUAUGACAUGUGAUUUUGAUGAGCUAUUUUGGGGCUUUUUCUAAGAUCCAGUCUAAAAAUGAUCCCAGGAAAGGGGCAGCACCAGCUGAGCAUCUAAUGGAUAUCAAAAUCCCAGCUCUGCUGCAUGACCACCAUCUUGGAGGAUACAGACGAUCAGAGAAGAAAUGGCAGGGAAAGGGACAAAGAAAAAUAAAUUUUUUCCUUGUCACAAGAUUUUGUUCAGGAAGUAAAAGUU